GAGUGUUACAGCUCUUUUAGAAUUUGUCUAGCAGGUUUUCCGGU
rnacentral:snRNA from 1 species